GUGUUGUAUGAAAGGAAAGUAGGUUAUCAAUCCUCUCGAUGAGGAUGGAAGGGGCCGUAGUGACCUGUACAACACACAUAUGGUUAAGUCACUUUCACCUGCUUCAUGGCAUCUAAUCGUGUUUGC
rfam:Apaloderma vittatum contig46841, whole genome shotgun sequence.